rnacentral:rRNA from 1 species
CCCUAGAUGUCCUGGGCCGCACGCGCGUUACACUGAUGCAUUCAACGAGCUUAUAGCCUUGGCCGAGAGGCCUGGGCAAUCUUGUUAACGUGCAUCGUGAUAGGGAUAGAUUAUUGAAAUUAUUAAUCUUGAACGAGGAAUUCCUAGUAAACGCAGAUCAUCAAUCUGCAUUGAUUACGUCCCUGCCCUUUGUACACACCGCCCGUCGCACCUACCGAUUGGAUGGUCCGGUGAAGCCUCGGGAUUGUGGUUCUUGCCGCUUUAUUGUGGCGUGACCGCGAGAACUUGUCUAAACCUUAUCAUCUAGAGGAAGGUGAAGUCGUANCA